rnacentral:tRNA from 1 species
GGUGGCUCAGUGGUAGAGCUCUUGCCUUGCAUGCAUGAGACCCUAGGUUCCAUUCCUCAGCACCA